UACGGGGGGGGUAAGCGUUGUUCGGAAUUACUGGGCGUAAAGGGCUCGUAGGCGGCCAACUAAGUCAGACGUGAAAUCCCUCAGCUUAACUGGGGAACUGCGUCUGAUACUGGAUGGCUUGAGGUUGGGAGAGGGAUGCGGAAUUCCAGGUGUAGCGGUGAAAUGCGUAGAUAUCUGGAGGAACACCGGUGGCGAAGGCGGCAUCCUGGACCAAUUCUGACGCUGAGGAGCGAAAGCCAGGGGAGCAAACAGG
rnacentral:rRNA from 1 species